rnacentral:rRNA from 2 species
AGGUGCAAUCAUACCAGCAGUAAUGCACCGGAUCUCAUCAGAACUCCGCAGUUAAGCGUGCUUGGGCGAGAGUAGUACUAGGAAUGGUGACUCUUAAGACUCCGACAAGUGUACCAA